AGUGAACGCUGGCGGUAGGCCUAACACAUGCAAGUCGAACGGCAGCACAGUAAGAGCUUGCUCUUACGGGUGGCGAGUGGCGGACGGGGGAGGAAUACAUCGGAAUCUACUUUUUCGUGGGGGAUAACGUAGGGAAACUUACGCUAAUACCGCAUACGACCUACGGGUGAAAGCAGGGGAUCUUCGGACCUUGCCCGAUUGAAUGAGCCGAUGUCGGAUUAGCUAGUUGGCGGGGUAAAGGCCCACCAAGGCGACGAUCCGUAGCUGGUCUGAGAGGAUGAUCAGCCACACUGGAACUGAGACACGGUCCAGACUCCUACGGGAGGCAGCAGUGGGGAAUAUUGGACAAUGGGCGCAAGCCUGAUCCAGCCAUACCGCGUGGGUGAAGAAGGCCUUCGGGUUGUAAAGCCCUUUUGUUGGGAAAGAAAAGCAGCAGGUUAAUACCCCGCUGUUCUGACGGUACCCAAAGAAUAAGCACCGGCUAACUUCGUG
rnacentral:rRNA from 1 species